rnacentral:rRNA from 1 species
CGGAGGAUCCAAGCGUUAUCCGGAUUUAUUGGGUUUAAAGGGUGCGUAGGCGGCCUGUUAAGUCAGGGGUGAAAGACGGUAGCUCAACUAUCGCAGUGCCCUUGAUACUGAUGGGCUUGAAUGUACUAGAGGUAGGCGGAAUGUGACAAGUAGCGGUGAAAUGCAUAGAUAUGUCACAGAACACCAAUUGCGAAGGCAGCUUACUAUGGUAUGAUUGACGCUGAGGCACGAAAGCGUGGGGAUCAAACAGGAUUAGAUACCCUGGUAGUCCACGCCCUAAACGAUGAAUACUCGAUGUUAGCAAUAUACAGUUAGCGUCAAAGCGAAAGCGUUAAGUAUUCCACCUGGGGAGUACGCCCGCAAGGGUG